rnacentral:tRNA from 7 species
GGCUCCAUAGCUCAGUCGGUAGAGCAAAGGAUUGAAAAUCCUUGUGUCGGCGGUUCGAUUCCGUCUGGCGCCACCA